CGAGUGGGUUUAGACCCACGGCGAACGGGUGAGUAAUACCUAGGAACGUAUCUUGAGUUGAGCAUAACCUGCCGAAAGGCAGGACAAUUCUCAAUGUGGCCGCAAGGCUAAAGUCGCAAGACGCUCAAGAAGCGGCCUGGGCACCAUCAGCUAGUUGGUAAGGUAAAGGCUUACCAAGGCUAUGACGGUUAGGGGCCCCGAGAGGGGAGACCCCCACACUGGAACUGCGACACGGUCCAG
rnacentral:rRNA from 1 species